ACUUAUGGAAUGUGAUUCCAAUUGCUGAAAGAACUGGAACUCCUUAUUUUUGGGAACUAGGAUAGUAUCAUAAUUAUCUAUCAUAUGUAUGAACAUGAAUUAAGAUCAUGGAACUGAAUGUAAGGCAUGAGUAGCUAUUAGGACAACUAAAAAUACUGAAGUAAGAUUUGGUCAAGCAUUAAUCUUUAUCACAGCUAUUCUACAGCUUACUGGUACAUCUACUAGAAUCUAAAGGCUUGACUUAGUUACUUGUUCU
rnacentral:lncRNA from 1 species